UACGAAGGGGGGCUAGCGUUGCUCGGAAUUACUGGGCGUAAAGAGCUCGUAGGCGGUUUUGUCGCGUCUGCUGUGAAAACCUGAGGCUCAACCUCGGGCUUGCAGUGGGUACGGGCAGACUAGAGUGCGGUAGGGGUGACUGGAAUUCCUGGUGUAGCGGUGGAAUGCGCAGAUAUCAGGAGGAACACCGGCGGCGAAGGCGGCACUCUGGGCCGGUACUGACGCUGAGGAGCGAAAGCGUGGGUAGCAAACAGGA
rnacentral:rRNA from 1 species